ACGAACGCUGGCGGCGUGCUUAACCCAUGCAAGUCGAACGCUGAAGCUCAGCUUUUGUUGGGUGGAUGAGUGGCGAACGGGUGAGUAACACGUGAGUAACCUGCCCCCUUCUUUGGGAUAACGCCCGGAAACGGGUGCUAAUACUGGAUAUUCACUGGUCUUCGCAUGGGGGUUGGUGGAAAGGGUUUUUCUGGUGGGGGAUGGGCUCGCGGCCUAUCAGCUUGUUGGUGGGGUGAUGGCCUACCAAGGCUUUGACGGGUAGCCGGCCUGAGAGGGUGACCGGCCACAUUGGGACUGAGAUACGGCCCAGACUCCUACGGGAGGCAGCAGUGGGGAAUAUUGCACAAUGGGCGCAAGCCUGAUGCAGCGACGCCGCGUGAGGGAUGGAGGCCUUCGGGUUGUGAACCUCUUUCGCUCAUGGUCAAGCCGCAACAAUGGUUGUGGUGAGGGUAGUGGGUAAAGAAGCGCCGGCUAACUACGUG
rnacentral:rRNA from 1 species